GACGAACGCUGGCGGCGUGCUUAACACAUGCAAGUCGAACGAAGUGGCGAACGGGUGAGUAACGAGUAAUCAACCUGCCCUUCAGAGGGGGAAAACAGAUGGAAAAGACUGCUAAUACCGCAUAAGGAAGGAGGGGAGUGCGUCUGAUUAGAUAGUUGGCGGGGUAACGGCCCACCAAGGCGAUGAUCAGUAGCCGGUCUGAGAUGAUGACCGGCCACAUUGUGACUGAGACACGGCCCCGACUCCUACGGGAGGCAGCAGUGGGGAAUCUUCCGCAAUGGACGAAAGUCUGACGGAGCAACGCCGCGUGAUGGAUGACGGCCUUCGGGUUUUAAAGCUCUGUUAAUCGGGACGCGGUACCGGAAUAGAAAGCCACGGCUAACUACGUGCCAGCAGCCGCGGUAAUAC
rnacentral:rRNA from 1 species